rnacentral:rRNA from 1 species
UACAGAGGGGGUAAGCGUUAUUCGGAAUUAUUGGGCGUAAAGGGCGCGUAGGCGGCCUGGCAAGUGGAAGGUGAAAUCCCUCGGCUUAACCGAGGAACUGCCCUCCAAACUGCUUGGCUUGAGACCGGGAGAGGUGAGUGGAAUUCCCAGUGUAGCGGUGAAAUGCGUAGAUAUUGGGAGGAACACCAGUGGCGAAGGCGGCUCACUGGACCGGUACUGACGCUGAGGCGCGAAAGCGUGGGGAGCAAACGGG